GAACACAAGAACCGCGAAACUGUGAUGGCAGAAGCAGAGAGUGAGAAACAGAGGAUUCUGAAGGAAACACAAGUGAAAUAUCAGGAGAGAAUCCAGCAGAGAGAGAAAGAGCUGGAGGAGCUGAGAGCGGCUGUGGAGUCUCAUAAGCGCUCUGCACAGACAGCAGUGGAGGACAGUGAGAGGAUCUUUACUGAGCUCAUCCGCU